GCAGGAGAAUCGCUUGAACCCGGGAGGCAGAGGUUGCAGUCAGCCAAGAUCACGCCACUGCACUCCAACCUGGGCAACAGAGCAAGACUCCAUCUAAACAA